AAUUGAGAAAACAAAACAAAAAAGAAAAGAAAAUUUAUAACAAAAGGAAAACUAGUUGAUAAAUGAAGUCGACUUUCGUUUUGAGAUGAUGUUUUAUAUUGAAGUUAAAAGAAAUGAUACGAUAUAAAGGUAAGUUCACAACAUGUCGGCAUGCGAUGGCAAAAAAGAAAAGGACAAGUAAAAGAACAAAACAAUAUUAAAAGCUGAACCGGUCGCCAUUUUAACGACGUGCAUUUCCUGUGGCUGAAUUGUGAAGGGUGGAAAAGCAGCUUAAACGCGAUGCCAACGAAGGAAACGAACGAAAACAAUGUGCAUUUUUACAAUCGCUGAUCGCAUAACAACAAAAAAAGUAAAAAACGUGACAAAAACAAAAAGAAAACGUGUAAAAGCAAAUGUGCGCGCACCACCACCCACCACACUCCUUGAAAGGUAACAAAGCGUAUGAAAUAACCGAAAAUCGCGUGAAAACACCCUACGGUAUUCCUUGCAGCUACCCAUUUUCUUCUUCUUUAUUCUUCUGUGUAAGGAACGAUGAGUUUUCUCAAGUGCACACUUGACAAUUUUGCUGCAUAGAUAACAAAAUUUAUUGAAUAUGUUGCGGAAUAUUCUUUUAACAAGGGCAACAUUUUAAUUUUUGAAGAGCGCAUUCUCCCAACCACCACCAAGACCCACUCCUUUAUGUAUAAGAGUUGAUUGCUGAUGGCUCAGCACAAUGAGAUAGGCUGCAAGUUCAAUGUACAAUGUUUUUUGAGGUAUUCGAGUUAGGGAUGAGCGCGUGUUGUUUAUUUUUUUUUUUUGUUCCAAUAAAAUGUUUUUAUACCACAGACUAUUUUUAUUUUAUAGGACUUAUUAUAUAUGAUAUAUAAUAUCAUUUAACAUAUCAUUUAAGGCAAGAUAAGAUACACUUAUAAGGGCUUUUAACGAAUCUUCAGUAUAGUUCCAAGAAUACAUGCCAAUGACAAAAUUCACAAUUUCAA